AUGGGUAAGUGUGACAGAGGGGUGAGGAUGGUUCUGGCUGCGCUGCGUGUGGUGCCUGGGUAGUAGUAGUGGCUGGGGGUUGUGGGGGGCGGUGGGAAGGGAUUUAGCAGAGCUAGUCUGGAACCUGGCUCUGCGGACCCCGGUGCCUUGUGUAACCCAGGUUACCAGGGUUGAAUAGCGGUCCAGCUUAUCAAUUGAUUAGUGAAGGGAAUAAAUGGAUCAAUAUGGUUAAUUGGAAAAAAAAAAGAAAAGAACCCUGUAGAGAAAAAAAGUAAUAAAUUGUAUUUGUGAAUAAUUCAACAUGUAUGCACAAACAUGUAGGUGUAUGUAAACAAACGUACAAAAGUUAUCACGUCUUUAAAAAAAAAAGAAAAAAAACGUUUUGGCCACUUUGAAUAAGUUUUCAGCAAGCCCACUUGAAACGGGAAUACGAGGGGUUCAUGAGAUGCGGUGUGAGCGAUCGGACGUUGUCACGUGAUACGGGUCAUUCUGCCAAGCCAAAGUCAAGGUGGCUACACACUAACUUUUGCUGCAGACUGUUAGUUCUACGUGUAAGAGAGACAAUUAAUUUGAUUUAUUGUGGUCAUAAUCGGUGUGGGACAUAGUCUCUUCGGCUGUGAAGUCGCUGGCGGACAGAGCGUCGUGCCAAAGAUACAACGGACGACACCUGGAUUGCUGAGGGCCUUGUGAUGUGCAGUUGUGCCGAAGCGUGUGUGUGUGUUGUGUGAUGCUUGAACCUCUGGCCGGGUCUUUUUCUUUCCCUUGUUUGGAUCUCCUUACUCUGAGGAUAAAGUAAAGAUCUCGUCUGCUGGGAUUCCUCUUGGUCCUGAAGAUAAAGAGGAACUCCAGUGGUCGUGGCGAGCCAUCCAAAACCACCAAUUGUGACUUGGAGUAGGAUGUUCUGUGUUACUGGUAGAAAAAUGUCUCAUACUGCCGUUAAUGUGUCAUUGAUGUGAUUUUAAUACAGUGCAUAAAAAAUUA